GGGAGCCCGGGGGCUGCGGGUCUGUAACCGCGCCUGGGAGCCCCGGGGGGCUGCGGGUCUGUAACCUGGCCUGCGAGCCCCAGGGGGCUGCGGGUCUGUAACCGCGCCUGGGAGCCCCGGGGGCUGCGGGUCUGUAACCGCGCCUGGGAGCCCCGGGGGGGCUGCGGGUCUGUAACCGGGCCUGCGGGCCGCAGGGGUGCCGAGGUCCGCGCGGCGGCCGCCUCCCCGCCAUCUCCUUUGUGCCGAGGGACGCCCGGUGGCUGCGGCCGCGCUGAGCCCCCGCCCCGGGCCCCGCCGCCGUCCGGUCCGAGGGCUCCUGAAGGCCUCAACCAGGGCACGUGGGUCACCCAGAACAGAAUCGGCCUCGCCGCCGGGGCUCUGGUUCCGGGGCUGGGAUUUCCUGCUGCCUGGCUGUGUCUCAGGCAUGCUUUGCCUCCGGGGAUUAGAGGAAGGAUAACAUAUGGACGUGGAAAACCUCUGAUACAACCUACAGAGCUAGACAACAGCUGCUAUGUGGGCCAGUUUACCGAGGGGAGCAUUCGCCACCAGCUGGGGGGACUGAGUCAUUCAUUCAUCAAAAACGCAGGACUGUCUACCAACUGUGGAAUUAGGGCCUGCAGAAUCAGUCCUUCCUAAUUGCCAGAUGAAGACAGCAUAACCUAAAGACUAUGCCAUAGCUACUCAAAAUGGUGACUUCUAAUAUGACCACUGAUGUCCUCAGGGUCCAUGCUUAAAAUUCCUCAUAGUUUCCAGAGCUGACACCCAG
rnacentral:lncRNA from 12 species